UGGGGAAUAUUGGACAAUGGGGGGAACCCUGAUCCAGCAAUGCCGCGUGUGUGAAGAAGGCCUUCGGGUUGUAAAGCACUUUUGGCAGGGAAGAAGACAUAUAUUUUAAGAGAUAGUAUGUUUGACGGUACCUGCAGAAUAAGCACCGGCUAACUCUGUGCCAGCAGCCGCGGUAAUACAGAGGGUGCAAGCGUUAAUCGGAGUUACUGGGCGUAAAGGGCGCGUAGGCGGUUAUGUAAGUGAGAUGUGAAAUCCCUGGGCUUAACCUAGGAACUGCAUCUCAUACUGCAUGUCUAGAGUAUUGUAGAGGGUAGUGGAAUUUCCGGUGUAGCGGUGAAAUGCGUAGAGAUCGGAAGGAACACCAGUGGCGAAGGCGGCUACCUGGACAAAUACUGACGCUGAGGCGCGAAAGCGUGGGGAGCAAACAGGAUUAGAUACCCGCGUAGUCC
rnacentral:rRNA from 1 species